UUAUUUAGCUAUUUUAGUCAUGUUAGCUGCAACCUCCAUUUUGUGAAUAGAAUGCUGGUUAAUUUUAAAGAUUGCCUAUUCUGCAAGUCUGCAGAAGCUUGUGGACAUGACCUUCACUAACUAAAGGGAACAGAGAUAACGGCCGUUCCCUAGCAUCUUGUUUCUUUGCCAUAUCAGUGUUCUGCCUGGAGGUUGCAAUGAAUAUAAUAGUGCUUUCUUGCCUAUGCAGAUGGGCUAUGUAUCUCUAUACUCCCAUAUCUCUUUAAUGUUAGUUUGAAGGUUUUCAUUGUAUGUAACUGUUCACUUAUGCCUACUAACCAUGUGACUAAUGUUGUUUUAUCAGUAUAUAGAUACUUGUAAUUUCUCUGUAUAGUCAGUAGAGGUGUAGCAGCUUGCGAGUGUGCAUCUGAGUGCACACUACUGGCUGUGUCCUAUUUUCACCCGGGUGAGAGUAAAAGUUUGUUCAACGAGACCUUUGACUCUUUGAAUUAUUAUUCCACUCAUCAAGUCUCACCAACUUUAACACCAUCCUCUGCAUAGAGUGAUUUUCCGUGUGGAUUUUACAUUGCGAUUAAAGACAGAAUAGUUCAAGUUUCCUUUCUCUGGGUUUGGGAAGUACCUCAGGAGUUUCCCUCUUUGACAAAGUUCACCUCCAGACGAUGUGCAAAUUGAAAGUGGAAGAGGUCAAUAAAAGGGAAUUCAGUGCACCACUCUUCAGUUAAACACCAACAGAGAGGAAGGACAGAGUCGUGGAUAAACAGAGGAUUCCUCAGCAGAGGACGAAUCAACAGUGAAUUAAAAAUGAGCAGCACAUCUACCAUGGCAAUUCUGAUCCUGCUUCUGUGUGCCUUUGCUGCACAUGGUAUUCCGACCUUAGAAAUCCAAGGACGUUGUCAGUGCAUUAAACCGACCAGGAAAUUUAUUCACCCAAAGUUCAUGAAGAGUGUGAAAUAUAUUCCCAGAGGUUUGCACUGUGAGAGACAGGAGAUAAUGUGAGUUCACAUUAAAGUUGAAUCAACGGAAUAACCCCUCCCCCCAAUUUUGUAUUAAUGUGUGUUCUUUAUUUAAAUUAUUUUUUAAUGAAAUCGGGCUGAAGCAAACCCUAACAGCUUUCUUUCUAAUUUUUGCUGAAGCCUCUGCCUUUGAGAGAAAGGCAUUCAACUUCUGUGGAUUAGAUUCUAAAAUGUAUCUUCUUUUCACAGUCAAGCUGAAAAGUGGGAAAAAACUCUGUGUGAAUCCCCGUGCCAAAUGGUUGAAGGUCAUCUUUAAGGCUGAAAGAGGCUUUAGACACAAAACUAAGAAAUUAAUCGAGUGAAGGAUUGAACUCAAUUCGACCUGGAUUACCUCAACUAUCUAUCACAAAUGAUGCAACUGAAUGCUUCGCUUUAUAACUUCUGAGAGCUUGUUCUACAAUUUCCUACUUUGUUUCUAAUAUUUCCACUUGUCAAAGUUGCUAUUUACAUAAACUUCUUGCAAAUGGCUGCAAUAUCUUCCAGAGUAUAUUUUAUGUGGAUGUUAUCAAAAUAUUACAAUGUU